GGGGAAAAAUUAAUAAUUUAAGUAAUAAUAAAAAAAUUUUUAAAUAAAAAUAAUAUGGGGGUUAAAGUAUUUUUAUUGAAAAAAUUGAUUAUUUUAUAGUUUAAUAGUAUUGUGAAAGAAUUUUGAAAUAAUUGAAAAUUUAAAUUAUUAAAAAGUAAUUUUAGUUUAAUGUAUCUUGUGUAUCAGAGUUUAUUAAAAAUUUUUAUUAUGUAGUAAAUUCUCGAAUUUAGAAGAGAUAAUUAAUUAAUAAAUUUAUUGUAGCAAAAAUAUUUUAAAUAAUUAAUUGGAAAUGAGAUGUUAAUCGUUUUUAAAUAUAUCUAGUUUUUUUAGAAAAAAAUUUAAUUUUAUAUUAUUUUAUAAAAUUAUUAAUUAAAUAAUAAUUUUAUGAAAUAAUUUUAUAUUUUAAGGGAUAAGCUUUAAAUUAAAUUUAUAUAAAUUUAAUUAUUUAAAAAUUGAAAAUUAUAUGAUUUAUAUUGUUAAUAAAUUUUAAUUUAUUAUAAAUAAUUUCAUUAUAAAUAAAAUUUAAAAUAAUUUUAUAUUUUUAUAAAAAAAAAAUUAAAAAUAAAAUUUAAUUUAAUAUAAUGAUAAAAUUAGUAUAUGUAUAAUUAAAUAUUUAGGUUAUUAUUUUAUUUAAAUAAAGUAAUUAAAAGGAAUUCGGCAAAAAUUUAUAUUCACUUGUUUAUCAAAAACAUGUCUUUUUGUAAAUAAUAUAAAGUCUAAUCUGCCCACUGAUUUAAUUAUUAAAGGGCUGCAGUAUUUUGACUGUACAAAGGUAGCAUAAUCAUUAGUCAUUUAAUUGAUGACUUGUAUGAAAGAUUGGAUGAAAUAUAUACUGUCUCUUAAUUAUAAUAUAUAAUUUAAUUUUUUAGUUAAAAAGCUAAAAUUAAUUAAAAAGACGAGAAGACCCUAUAGAGUUUUAUAAAUUAUAUUUAUUAAGAUUAUUUAUAAAGUUAAUAAUUAAAAUAAUUUAAUUUAAUUUGUUGGGGUGACAAAAAAAUAAAAAUAACUUUUUUUAAUUAAGAAACAUAAAUAAGUGAUUAAUUGAUCCAAUAUUAUUGAUUAUAAGAAAAAAUUACCUUAGGGAUAACAGCGUAAUUUUUUUUUUUAGUUCGUAUAAAAAAAAGAGUUUGCGACCUCGAUGUUGGAUUAAGAUAAAAUUUAAAUGCAGAAGUUUAAAAUUUUUGAUCUGUUCGAUCAUUAAAAUCUUACAUGAUCUGAGUUCAAACCGGUGUGAGCCAGGUUGGUUUCUAUCUUUUAAAAUAUAAAAUAUUUUAGUACGAAAGGAUUAAAUAUUUAAAUUAAAUUUAUUAAAUUGAAUUUUAUUAAAUUUUAUUUAAAAAUAUAAUUGAAUAAUAUUAUAUAUAUAUAU
rnacentral:rRNA from 1 species